rnacentral:lncRNA from 10 species
AGGACCAAGUACUGCAGCAGCAGCAGCAGCAUCAAACAGUUGCAUGAGAAGGAAAGCUUGGAACUUGAGGUGCUCCCUGCAGAGGCAAGCACCCAGCAUGGCAGACCAGGUGGCCAACAAGGUGGGAGGUGUGGCUGUCGUCAUCACGGAGCCAAACACACCAAGGAGUGCAGCAAAGAUGAAGGUUCUAAGUGCAAAUGGCAGCCUUGAUUUUUAGAGCAACUGGCUGGGGCUUGAUUGGUUAAAUAAGUACUUACAUAACAGGAUGCUUACCAUGAUCCCCAGUCAGAAUUUGUAGGUGCCCCAUAGAAGUGGAUGCCUGCUGGGAGUCCAGGUGCAGGCAGUGGUUUUGGGUACAUAUGCUUCCUACAGUCCACUUAUCACCACAGAAGGGAAUCUGUGGAGUUGGAGUUGAAAUGAAAAGGGGCAGCUGAAACAUGGUGACACCAAGAAAGCUGAAGCACCCAAACUGAUAAAGGGUCCCAGUCCUGGGGUUACUGUGUCAGCAGCCUAUGGGUGGAGCCACAACCCAGUGUUGCUGGAAGUGGGCACUGCAUUUGCCUUUGGAAAGAACAAGAUGCAGAAGGUGGGGCUUGGUCGUCAGACAGAUGCAGUUCCUAGCCCUGCGCAGAAGGUAUACAAGGCCAGCCAUUCACCAAAAUGGUCCAUGGGACUGAAUUCAGUGGGAUGAUGGACUGCAAAAACCAAAACUAAAACCAAAACAAAAAACAAAAAACAAAAACCCAAACUUUAUUCCUUUGGGAGCCCUGAAUAUGGUCACCUGGUAUACAACUCAUGAUGAGAAGUUCAUGUCCCCACUGCUGUGGAUAGAGUCCAGCUGGGAGCUGAUGCCCAGGCAAGUGGCUGUCUUCAUGGAGAAGGAAGAAAGAUUAGCAGAUUUUGCCAGUACCACACGUGGUUGUGCAGAUGUGGCCUGUAGAGCUAACCACAUGCUGGUCCUGGACUCCCAGAAGCACAUCUUCUUCUGACACGGGGUGGCUAUUGCUGGCUGGACCAUGUGGAGCAGAAAAACGAGAUGGUCCACCUCCCACAAGCGGUUUGGCUUUCCUGGAAUGGGGUCCCCAGAUCUAUGCUGGUUAUGCCUGGUCCUUUGCUGUCAGUGAAGAGGGUGACGUGUUUUUCUGGGAGGCCACCAACACUUCCCAUGAGUCUAUCAUGUACCUGAAAGCAGUGCUGAACAUCCGUGGCUGGAGAAUGUGGAGCCUGGCUCAUGGGAAGAGCAUCAUGGUGGCUGCAGAUCAUCUGGGGCCAGUCCCUGAUCUUUGGUGAACUGGGCAGAGGGGACUCACAAGCCCACAUCUCCCACUGCGGUCCAAGACAUGAAGACGCUGCAUGGUGUCUUCUCAGAGCAGGCUGCCAUGGGUUACUCCCGCUCCUUGGUGAUGGUGAGAGAUGAAAGUGAUACCCAGAAACUGCCAGAGUACAAACCCCUACCCUCUAAUUCUCCCAGAAACU